rnacentral:rRNA from 1 species
GAUGAACGCUGGCGGCGUGCCUAAUACAUGCAAGUCGAGCGAACGGACGAGAAGCUUGCUUUUCUGAUGUUAGCGGCGGACGGGUGAGUAACACGUGGAUAACCUACCUAUAAGACUGGGAUAACUUCGGGAAACCGGAGCUAAUACCGGAUAAUAUUUUGAACCGCAUGGUUCAUAAGUGAAAGACGGUCUUGCUGUCACUUAUAGAUGGAUCCGCGCUGCAUUAGCUAGUUGGUAAGGUAACGGCUUACCAAGGCAACGACGCAUAGCCGACCUGAGAGGGUGAUCGGCCACACUGGAACUGAGACACGGUCCAGACUCCUACGGGAGGCAGCAGUAGGGAAUCUUCCGCAAUGGGCGAAAGCCUGACGGAGCAACGCCGCGUGAGUGAUGAAGGUCUUCGGAUCGUAAAACUCUGUUAUUAGGGAAGAACAUAUGUGUAAGUAACUGUGCACAUCUUGACGGUACCUAAUCAGAAAGCCACGGCUAACUACGUG